GCGUGCGUUCACACUGGCAAACUAGUAAAGUGAACAGAACCGCGCCGCCUAGAGCGGGCCCACCGCGCCCUCCUCAAGCGCCAGCGCCACGCCUGCGUGCGCCGCCGCCGCCGCCGCUCCCGAGGACAGACCGCCGCAUCCCCCGAGGACUCCCGCGCCCGUCCGACUGUGAACCCUCCGCGCCACGCCGCCAGAGCUCCGCCCUUGUGCAUCGCCUCUGCCGCGGCUCAGUGACCCCUCCCCGCGCACGGAUGCGGCGUCCGUCGCAGGCGGCAUGGUGGACGGAGAUGCCUAGGCAGAGCCCGCGGCGGGGGAAGACGGUGGCCUGCAUGGCGGCGAGCGACGCCAGCACGCCAUCGCUGGGUCCGUAGUGACGCAUUUCUCCCCGCCGAGGACGCCAGCGCCGCUGCCCUGCCCCACCGCGCCCCGCAACGCCGACCCCGGCGCUGUGCAGGAGCUCUUCACCAUGUCGCCCACCAAGUGCUCGACAGAUUUCGUGAGCCAGGGCAUAACACCUGCAGUUUUGCAUCGCCAAGCAGGUCUGCGUGAUUCUCAUCCCCUUUCCUCCUCUUGCCAGCUGCUUGCUUAGUAGGUUUUACAGUACACUCCAAAGGAAAAGCCAGGUGCAUAGAUAAUUCAUGACAUUCUGGAAAUCAUUCUAGGGAAAUCAGAUCUGCAGUGUGAGUGAUUUUCUGAAAUGGUCUACCUGUACCAUGCUUCUACAUAGGCCGGGUAAUCCAGAAUGAUGGCAGCAAGUAGUGAAUUACGAGGAUCCUAAUCAUAUGUAGUUUAGUCUCUUGUAAAAUGUCAGAGGCUUCUCGUUGCUUCUUUGACAAUCUGUUGUUAUAUGUGUCUUCUGUAAAUACAUCUUUCUAGUAUCUUGUACUCUGGUUGUGUCAUUUACAUAUAAGUACUAUGGUGCUGUUUUUUCUAUGGAUUAAUGGUGCUUUAUGGUUCAUGGUAUUUGAUA